GGCUAUAUAGCUCAGUGGUAGAGCAUCUGCUUUGCAUGCAGAAGGUGGCAGGUUCAUUCACCAGGCAGUGUAAGUUA